ACUACACUCCAUGCCUUUGUCUCAUUCUAUUCGUGAUUUGCUUUGCUGUGUUGGGUGUUAUCGUUUGCAUGUCAACCUCGUUUCUGUUUCGAAAUUAAGUUUAUCUUUAUACAUUUUAAUGAGUGUCUCGUAAAUUUGAUAGUAUUCUGCUUUGUUUUUCUAGCGCCAUUGUUUUGAACCGAAAAAGUGUCUGAUUACUGGAGAUGCUGCCCUCGAGACAAGCCUUUGAUUCCAAUGCUGGAACAACAUCUACCCUCGAGGGUUGUUAUUGUCGAAAUAUGUCGUGGGACUCCAGCUCAUCAGGGAGCCAUAUUGACAAAUACAUUUCGUGCACAACCAAGAGUUUCUGCAAUCCUGCACACUAGACUGUUUGCGAAUUUUUGGAUGGUCUGCACUUUAUGGGGGUCAUUUAUUUUCAGCUUGGCCUUCCAUAAAGUCGUCAGGCGCUGCUGAUUUCAUCGAAACCAUCCAACAUGAGAACGACACGGCCUGCAACUUUUAAACGAUGUUUCAACAUUGAUCUGGCAAAUGAACUAGUUCCGGUAAUGCAAGAUCACUUGCCUUGAUCUUCGUGGAAUCGUCAAAUUUGUGCUUUGCCUGCAAGUACCGUGUUAUUCUUUUGCUUUCACGAUUUUUGUACGUAAAGAUGAGGUCAUCGAAUUUACCCCCUUUACCAGGCAUCUCAGUAUCUAGCUUGAAAUUAUAGCCCAUUCUAAGUCCUCGGGUGAGGAACAGCAUUAGCAGCCUCAGUUGAAAUACGUCGCCGUGUAAUGUAUUCCUUAGCCCAGACGAGGCCAAGCUCUUGCCUAAUAUUUUAUCUGCCUGGGCGCGUUUACUUGCAGGAGGCACCAUUUUGAUAUAACACUGAUAACACGGAAAAGUGUUGUCAGUACUGAACGUAUAAAAGUUGCCAGGUAAUUGAUUGUCUUGGAAUGAUAAACAAUGUUCCGCUCACCUAUUUCAUAUUUUAGGAAAGUCACACAGAGUUUUCUAAACAACGCUGAACAGCUAUCACUGUUAUAUUAGUAAGCUAGCUUUUUCACUUAAUUUUAAACACGUCCAGCGUUAAACUGAUGUUAACUUUUUGUUAGCCGGAUGUUUGACACAGCUACUGUACCUGUGCGUUCCCAGCUCACUUUGGCGACUCUAUCCUUGCUUCUUAUCAUAUAGUUCCCUUUUUUAAAUGCCAUCAGAUAGUUAUGAUAUCAAGUCAGCUAAUCAUUCUUGAUACUACACAGUAACCAAUAAAAUUAUAGGUUCUUGAGUAGAUAAUCAACAUAGGUCGUUGUAACUAUGGGGCACUUUAGAGCUGCGUCAUGAUGCAUUGCAUACAGGAUAUGUUUUUUUUUCUAAUAUAAAAUUUAACCCCUGUCCACGUAGUCUUCUGCACCCAAAAAUACUAAAAUUAAUUUUCACGUUUAUUCCUUUAAAGUUCUUAUUGAUAAUAAUAAUUAAAAAAAAAGGAAACUUCAGUUAAGUUUAUUAUACUAUGAAAGGAAGCAAACGGAAAAUAAAAAUU
rnacentral:lncRNA from 1 species